UCCGCGAUAAGCGUGGAAGCUUCAACCACCGCGCGGGAUCGUGGUGGCAUGGAGCUUGGUAUGGCCUCGAUCGUGGGAAAUAAAGCCACGGGCGCUUGCGGCUUCUCCUGUUGACUCACGUGUGAGCCAGCAAGCAAACCCUUACCCCGUGCGCCGCCGCCGUUGGAAAAUUUCGCCGCCGCGGGUGAGGUGAGAGAGUCGGCAGAGUAGACCUAGCGUUCCUCGCUGCCACUGCCUCAACAUCGUGUCUGGGGGUUUCCUCGGAUCACAGGGAAGGUAUCGGCGGCCUCGGUGUGCGUGAUUGGUUGACGGAGACCGCGGAAUUGCUCAACGUCGCGCAUCUUCCCCACAACGCCGUGGUCGGGAUUACUCGGAUCGCCGUGGGCCGGAGAAGAACAGGUGGUUCAGGAGGAGCCACACAACUAGGAGUUUGAUCUGAUCUAGGUGGCGUCUCCCAAUUGACUUAUUGGCGCCAAGGAUGGAUUUAGUUCGUUUUAUAUUUAUAUUUUAUUUUUGUAAGACUUUUGCUAUAUAAUAAGUACUCUAAUGUUAUUGUGAUAUUUAUCUCUAUACACUCUGUUAUUAUAUAUGUUGUCUUCUUUGGCA